GACGAACGCUGGCGGCGUGCUUAACACAUGCAAGUCGAACGGAAAGUCCCUGCUUUUGUGGGGUGCUCGAGUGGCGAACGGGUGAGUAACACGUGAGUAACCUGCCCUUUACUUUGGGAUAACUUCAGGAAACUGGGGCUAAUACCGGAUAGGAUCUCCUGCUGCAUGGUGUGGGUUGGAAUGUUUCGGCGGUUGGGGAUGGACUCGCGGCUUAUCAGCUUGUUGGUGGGGUAGUGGCUUUCCAAGGCUUUGACGGGUAGCCGGCAUGAGAGGGUGACCGGCCACAAUGGGACUGAGAAACGGCACAGACUCCUACGGGAGGCAGCAGUGGGGAAUAUUGCACAAUGGGCGGAAGCCUGAUGCAGAAACGCCGCGUGCGGGAUGACGGCCUUCGGGUUGUAAACCGAUUUCGAAUGUGAAGAAGAGUGAGUGACGGUAAUGGGUAAAGAAGCACCGGCUAACUACGUG
rnacentral:rRNA from 1 species